AACCAGGCUUAAGUCAUUUAAAAAGCCAAAACUAUGAGAGAGACACUGAUAUAAUGAAGUUUGGUGUUCUUGCUGCCAACUGAAUGCUAAGUUAUGUAAGUUAGCCGAUUUAUAGACCUAUACCUGUAUAGGCUGCAGGUGAUUUGAGGGGGGGGAUGCCAAAUGACCAUAGUGCAUCCCCUUUGUUAACCUGCCAACCCCCCUCUCCAUCUCCUAGUAGCAGAGAGAGUGGAGGGGCAGAGAGGUUGAAUUAGUUAGUCUAGUCUGCCUGACUCAUUGGUCCUUUAACUGACUGAGGUUUGUGCAAGUUAGAAUCUACGGCCCCGACCAUGGCUCUGAAACAUCAGCAGCCUAACUCAGCAGUUUUGAUAAAUCCAUGGCCCUGUCCGUGGUGCUGAAGUAGCAGACGGAUUUUUAAUUGCAUCUUUUUCUCUGAGUCCAGCCCUUCUGUCAGUUUCGACUUGGAUUUAUAUAAUUCUUUAAACUUUUUCAACUUAAAAAAAAAUAAAAAACCAAAAGCGUCGUUAGUCCGUCCCCCCUGUUAAGAUAGCUACAAAGGGACAACCUGUGUGGUGUUGAAUUUACCACACCAUUGCCAAAUUUGUUAUUAUUUAUUUACCAAAACCUUUUUUUGUCUGUUGGAUGUAACCUAUCGUGCUCCAAAUACUUAUUCAUUUGGGUGUUUCACCAUGGUGAUAUUCAGAGAACAGAGGGUACAGGAAACGUAAUCUCAAGCUCUGAAGUUGCACCCUCUGGUCUUUAACUCAACCAAAUGAGAUUCUGCCUCCAGUGCAAACUGCAGAAAAUCUUGGAAAUUGUUGUUGAACUGAAAUUACAAUCUGCCCUCAGGUCAAAAUUGUUAAAAGUUAUUUUUCUUGAAAAUGAAAAUUGCAUUUUGGUCUUAAACUUUCAGAUGUGCUAACUUGUUCCACGUGUUUCAGGAUGCCAACAUGCAGAUUGUGUUCACACUUUGAACAUCUGUAUAACAUCCAAAGCCCAAACGCACUGAAUGCGGCUUUUAACACAUUAUUAUAGUGAGUAACAUAUAAAUGAUGUAUCCCAACAUGGAAAUACCUAUAUAGAUAAUAAAAUUAACAAUUUGUCCUCCAUAUACCACCAAAAUAUAUGUGUUUGUUGUCUGUAGGCAUUUAAAAUUAGACACACACCAGUGUGUUUCUGGCUUUAUUUGUCGGGUCUGUCUACGUUGUGACGCUUUUUCUGAAAAGUCAGCCGUGUGUGUAGCAUUGUCAACCUUUUACAUAUGUAUACAUUACUAACAUUGUACAGUAUGUUUGGUGUAUAAGUGUAUGACACAAAGUAUAUUUUUUACAUAGUGACUCUAGUUGUGAAAAUGGCUUUUUCAACUACAGUAAUUCAUGCUGCACUUUGAGAACAUUAUUUAUUUAUUUAUGUAGCCUAUUUAUUGUUUUGGCUACACUGGGAAGAUAUUUCUCUUGACAAGUAUUUCAAAUAAUUUAUACUGAAGUGUAACAUUUGAUUGGAUCUGCCUUGUUUUGAAAUACUGACUGAUACGCUGAUUUGAAAACAACUCUAUGGAUAGUUUUCACUUCUUAUGAGACUCAUUUGAUGCGAUGUAAGCUGACUUGUUAAGAUGAAUAUUUCUUACAGUGAUGGGAUAGAUAGAUAGAUAAUUGUCCGAGUCAUGGCUUCGUUGUGCAUUGCUGUAUUUGUGGGUGAUAGUGACGUGCUGUGUUUGCGCUGGGGGAGGUGCGCCGUGCACUCCUCUCAUGGUAGUGUUCAGUGUUGUAUUCAACCUCUCCUUGCAAGGUCCCACUUCUGUCCGUGGCUACUCCUACACUGCUCCUGCAAUAGGGCACUAACACUGAACUUUACCUAAAACCUGAGUCUAGUAUGGUUUAAAAAUGCUUUCUAUUACUCAGCUUGCCCAGUCGGGUUUGCGUUUUGUGAUAUCGCAAUUUCAAAUACCUCCGAGAUCUAAGCUUGUCUCUUUCAUUCUUUUCUGAGGUGAAGAAAAGGUGUCUCAGAGGUAAAAUGUGACAUUUUAAAAGUGCAAAAGAGAGCCUAAAUGUCUCUUUAGACCAGGAGGGAUUUGGUUUUGGUGUGCCACAUCCAUCUAUGAGAACUUUAAGUUUAAGGUGCAGGUCUGUGGCCGGCCGAUGGCAGGGUGCAUUCACAUCUAUAACUUGUUUUCUCUGGUUCAAACCAUUGUGGAAAUUAUAACAUUUUUUGUUUGUAGUUAAAACUGCCCAAUUACAAGUGAAUCAGGCAUUGCAAAUUAAUCUCAUAUGACAGCAGUCUUGUUGGAUAGAUAGUUGGUAACUUGGUAUCCAAGCAGAUUAGAUCUUUUUUGCAGUUUGGACAAAUCGAGACAAAUCCCCACAAAAAAAAAAAAAGAAGCUUUCAUUGUUUUUCACCUGGCAAUACAAACUAAACGAACAAGCCAAAUGCUCCAGACUUCAAGCAAACUUGUCUGGUGUGCCUGCACUCUAAGAGACAGCUGAAUUCAGCGAAUCACAAAAGUACGUGAAAGGAUUUGAAGCAAAUAUGUGGACCCAGGUGCACACACUGCUCCUAACCAUAGCCAUCUACUUUAUGCACAUGUACGAACUCAAAACGCUCCACUCACUGUACAAAGAUAGGAGAGUAUAAGUAUUCAUUUGUAAAUAUGUAUUUUUUAAAAGAGUACUAUUUAUAUGUUGACUUGCACGGUCAUACAUGUGUUUGGAUUAUUUUUCUCUUUGGGGUGCACGUGUUCAUUUUGUUGAAGGAAGGAACAGACUCUAGCUGAUUUUAGCUGAAUAUCUCUUUAAAUAGGGGCACAGAUAGCUGUUUUUCUGUGUGAACGUCAAUCACUGACUAACACUUCUGUCUCCUCUCUUUCACCUCAUGUAUUUCUCAUCCCUCAAUCACAGCCAUGUACGUUUAUCUGUGUGCCUAAUCAGAGUUUUACUCAGAGCUGCUGAUAGUAGUUGAGUUUUGUCAGGUUGCCAUAUUUUCGUCCUUUAUGUCAUGCCAUGGAGACUGCUGCCAACAUGGUGAGCCAAGGAAUAAAUUCCAAACAUGGUAUAUUUUACAGGCUAAUAGGUUGCCUUUUACCUUUUAACUCAACAAAGAAUUCAAUUAUUUCUCUGCCUUUUAACAAAAACAACAUGUUAUUCAGCUGGAUCCGGCUGUUUGAUUAAAUCUGCAAAAUAAACUGCACAAUAACCAACACAUUCUCACUCCCAUCGUAGUAAAAUACGGACGCUUGAUCAGGUGCCUUUGGCGUUGUUAUUGACGCUAAAAGUCUCCUUUACCGUCAGAUCUAAACGCGCUUUAUUAAAUGCGCUUGGUCUGGACUAUUGUCGUCACUUUUGACGCAGUUAGGUUUAGGACAAGAUCGUGGGUGUGCUUAUAAAAGGGACGUUAACGUGACACGCGGGACAAGAACAGGACAGUUGGGUUUAGGAAAAGAAGAACGGGACAGUUGGGUUUAGGAAAAGAAGAACGUGACAGUUGGGUUUAGGAAAAGAAGAACGUGACAAUUUGGUUUAGGAAAUGAAGAACAGGAUAGUUGGGUUUAGGAAAAGAAGAUCGGGUUAGGGUUAGGGUUAUUGCGUCGUAUGUGACGCUGCGAGCCAAUGAACAAGCGUCCGUAUUUUACGAGUUGGGAGUGAGAAUAACACGGCUCUGAAAUCAAUGCUGCAGUGUCACAGAUUUGACUCUAACUCUACUCUGCUGUGAUCUUUGUUUUUCUAUUAUUUGUUUGGUCCUGAUGUGUGUGAAUAAAUGUACCGACUGUACUGUCUGUAUAUGUUUGGGUGUCAUGUACUGUAAGUUUGCUAUUUGUGCCUCUCUGCAGCUCACGCAUUCACAGACUGUUAUUCAAAGUGUGUGACUGGAGGGAUUUUAGACACAUACAACCUUUGUCUGUAUGCUUUGCUGUUUCAGUGGCAGCUGGUGACUAAGAUAAGACUCCAUUAAGUGAUACUUACAGGAUGUUUAGGGGUUCGGAUGACUCUGUUAAUGAGUUUUGGGAGAUUAACCUCAGCUGUGGUGUCUGUAAUAUGAUGGAAAUGAACUGAGCAGGUGACAUUGUGGCUUCAGUGUGUGAAGAUUCAGGCUUUUUAACGUUUCUCUGUGCCACACCAGUUACGCCCUCCCCCCAACUGUUUUUGUUUCACUUGUGUUUGUACACAUACCAGAUAUAAUAUUGUUAAAUAAAAUAUUCAUCAUGUAACGAGACAUGGUGUGAAUGUG